UUGCAUUCUGGAGCUCUUUCUGUGACUUGUGUGUCAUUUGUUCACAUCACAGGCAGAGUUCUAGCUAUGCGG
rnacentral:pre_miRNA from 14 species